GUGCUCACUUUGGCAGCACACAUACUAAAAUUAGAACGAUACACAGAAGAUUAGCAUGGCCCCUGUGCAAGGAUGACAUGCAAAUUCAUGAAGCAUUCCGUAUUUUU
ensembl:snRNA U6 U6 spliceosomal RNA